CAGAGAAGCAACAGAUAAUGGAUCCCAAAGUUUGGCGUGUGGAACUAAAUGACGGCCACUUCAUUCCUGUACUGGGAUUUGGCACUUAUGCACCUUAUGAGGUUCCUAAGAGCAAAGCUGUGGAGGCCACCAAAUUAGCUAUAGAUGCUGGGUUCCGCCAUAUUGAUUGUGCUCAUUUGUACAACAAUGAAAAGGAGGUUGGAUUGGCUAUCCGAAGCAAAAUUGAAGAUGGCACUGUGAAGAGAGAAGACAUAUUCUACACUUCAAAGCUUUGGGCCACUUCUCUUCAACCGCAGUUGGUCCGGCCUGCCUUGGAAAGGUCUCUGAAAAAUCUUCAAUUGGACUAUGUCGACCUCUAUAUUAUUCAUUUUCCUGUGGCUGUGAAGCCAGGGGAGGAACAUCUUCCACAAGAUGAAAAAGGAAAAGUAAUAUUUGACACAGUGGAUCUCUGUGCCACGUGGGAGGCCAUGGAGAAGUGUAAAGAUGCAGGAUUGACCAAGUCCAUCGGAGUGUCCAACUUUAACCACAGGCAGCUGGAGAUGAUCCUGAACAAGCCAGGGCUCAAGCACAAGCCUGUGUGCAACCAGGUGGAAUGUCACCCUUAUCUCAACCAGAGCAAACUGUUGGAUUUCUGCAAGUCAAAAGACAUUGUCCUGGUUGCCUACAGUGCUUUGGGAAGCCAACGUGAACAAUGGAUAGACCAGAGCUCCCCAGUUCUCUUGGAUGAUCCAGUUCUUUGUGCCAUGGCAAAAAAGUAUGAGAAAACUCCAGCACUGAUUGCCCUUCGGUACCAGCUACAACGCGGGGUGGUGGUCCUGGCCAAGAGUUACAGUGAGAAGCGGAUCAAAGAGAAUGUGCAGGUUUUUGGAUUCCAGUUGACUUCAGAGGACAUGAAAGUCUUAGAUGGCCUAAACCAAAAUGUUCGAUAUUUUACUUUAGAAAUGAGGACAGAGGCCAGUUUGAGACAGAGAUGAGACAGGUACUUUCUGGAAUCUCAUCCUAGACUCACGCCAGAACUUUUUUCACUGACAACAGCAGGGUGAAUGGAUCAGGGUCAGCUUGAACUUAUACACAUAUGUCCUGCCCUCAUCACUCCAAGGAUCUUUCCAAGAAGGUUUGCUGGCCACCCUGAGUAUCCAUUUUCUGAUGAUUAUUAACUUGGAGGCCUUUGUUCUGACCUCCACUAGAAGCCCUGUGUGUGGAUAGUGAGGCAAGAAACGUCUCAGAUGUUGGGAACUAUAUACAUCAGCAUGAAUUUCAUCCACGUUAUUUACAAAUGCAUACUCACCAAGAUUUACGUCCAUAGAUCAGGAAAGAAAGUCACUCAAUAUUUGUCACAUCCUGUAACAAUUAAAAAUUUUCCCCACAAAUA